AACGAUGUAUUUUAUUAAGAAUAUUGGGUUUGCGUCUCAAAGGUGGAAAUUUUCUCUUCGUUA
rnacentral:tRNA from 1 species